AAUGUGGUUAAUGAUGCUCAACUUUUUUCCCCAUCUUAUCGACCCUGGUGAAUUUCGACUGAAAAUAAGCCAAUUUAGUCUGAAACCACAUU